rnacentral:rRNA from 1 species
GACGAACCGUGCGAACGUUGUUCGGAAUCACUGGGCAUAAAGGGCGCGUAGGCGGCUUCAUAAGUCAGGGGUGAAAUCCGGCAGCUUAACUGUCGCAGUGCCUUUGAUACUGUGGAGCUCGAGGGAGGUAGGGGUCUGUGGAACUUCCGGUGGAGCGGUGAAAUGCGUUGAUAUCGGAAGGAACGCCGGUGGCGAAAGCGACGGACUGGAUCUCUUCUGACGCUGAGGCGCGAAAGCCAGGGGAGCAAACGGG